rnacentral:rRNA from 1 species
GACGAACGCUGGCGGCGUGCCUAAUACAUGCCAGUUGAGCGCUGAAGGUUGGUACUUGUACCAACUGGAUGAGCAGCGAACGGGUGAGUAACGCGUGGGGAAUCUGCCUUUGAGCGGGGGACAACAUUUGGAAACGAAUGCUAAUACCGCAUAAAAACUUUAAACACAAGUUUUAAGUUUGAAAGAUGCAAUUGCAUCACUCAAAGAUGAUCCCGCGUUGUAUUAGCUAGUUGGUGAGGUAAAGGCUCACCAAGGCGAUGAUACAUAGCCGACCUGAGAGGGUGAUCGGCCACAUUGGGACUGAGACACGGCCCAAACUCCUACGAGAGGCAGCAGUAGGGAAUCUUCGGCAAUGGACGAAAGUCUGACCGAGCAACGCCGCGUGAGUGAAGAAGGUUUUCGGAUCGUAAAACUCUGUUGGUAGAGAAGAACGUUGGUGAGAGUGGAAAGCUCAUCAAGUGACGGUAACUACCCAGAAAGGGACGGCUAACUACGUG